rnacentral:rRNA from 1 species
GACGAACGCUGGCGGCGUGCUUAACACAUGCAAGUCGAACGAUGAAGCCGGAGCUUGCUCUGGUGAAUUAGUGGCGAACGGGUGAGUAACACGUGAGUAACCUGCCCUUGACUCUGGGAUAACUGCUAGAAAUGGUAGCUAAUACCGGAUACGACCCUCGGAGGCAUCUCCAGGGGGUGGAAAGAAUUUCGGUCAAGGAUGGACUCGCGGCCUAUCAGCUAGUUGGUGAGGUAAUGGCUCACCAAGGCGACGACGGGUAGCCGGCCUGGGAGGGUGGCCGACCACACUGGGACUAGGACACGGCCCAGACUCCUACGGGAGGCAGCAUGGGGGAAUAUUGCACAAUGGGCGCAAGCCUGAUGCAGCAACGCCGCGUGAGGGAUGACGGCCUUCGGGUUGUAAACCUCUUUUAGUAGGGAAGAAGCGAAAGUGACGGUACCUGCAGAAAAAGCACCGGCUAACUACGUGCCAGCAGCCGCAGUAA